UACGGAGGGUGCAAGCGUUAUCCGGAUUCACUGGGUUUAAAGGGUGCGUAGGCGGCUUAGUAAGUCAGUGGUGAAAGACUGUGGCUUAACCAUGGAAUUGCCAUUGAUACUGCUGAGCUUGAAUCAGGUUGAGGUUGGCGGAAUGUGACAUGUAGCGGUGAAAUGCUUAGAUAUGUCAUGGAACACCGAUUGCGAAGGCAGCUGACUGGACCUGUAUUGACGCUGAGGCACGAAAGCGUGGGGAGCGAACAGG
rnacentral:rRNA from 1 species